CCAUACUCCUACGGGAGGCAGCAGCAGGGAAUAUUGCACAAUGGACGGAAGUCUGAUGCAGCGACGCCGCGUGGAUGAAGAAGGCCCUCGGGUUGUAAAAUCCUUUACAGGGGGAAGAGGAAGGACGGUACCCCUGGAACAAGUGUCGGCUAACUACGUGCCAGCAGCCGCGGUAAGACGUAGGACACAAGCGUUAUCCGGAUUUACUGGGCGUAAAGCGUCUGCAGGCGGACAGGUAAGUUGGGCGUGAAAGCUCCGGGCCCAACCCGGAGAGGUCGUUCAAUACUGCGUGUCUAGAGGGUGUCAGAGGGGAAGUGGAAUUUCCGGAGUAGCGGUAAAAUGCGCAGAGAUCGGAAAGAACACCAAUGGCGAAGGCAGCUCCCUGGGGCAACCCUGACGCUAAGAGACGAAAGCUAGGGGAGCGAACAGGAUUAGAGACCCUGGUAGUCCUAGCCCUAAACGAUGGAUGCUGGAUGUGGGGCCAUAGCGCUCCGUGUCGAAGCGAACGCGUUAAGCAUCCCGCCUGGGGACUACGGCCGCAAGGUUAAAACUCAAACGAAUUGACGGGACCCCGCACAAGCAGCGGAGCGUGUGGUUUAAUUCGAUGCUACACGAAGAACCUUACCUGGGUUUGACAUCUAGGUGGUAGUGAAGCGAAAGCGGAGCGACCCUUCGGGGAGCCUAGACAGGUGCUGCAUGGCUGUCGUCAGCUCGUGCCGUGAGGUGUCGGGUUAAGUCCCGUAACGAGCGCAACCCUUGCCCUCCGUUAUACGUGUCAGAGGGGACUGCCGGCGGUAAGCCGGAGGAAGGUGGGGAUGACGUCAAGUCAGCAUGGCCUUUAUAUCCAGGGCUACACACACGCUACAAUGGCCAGUACAAAGGGCAGCGAAGCCGCGAGGUGGAGCGAAUCCCAGCAAAGCUGGUCGUAGUUCGGAUUGCAGGCUGCAACCCGCCUGCAUGAAGCUGGAGUUGCUAGUAACCGCGCGUCAGCCAUAGUGCGGUGAAUACGUUCCCNGGGGUUUGUACACACCGCCCGUCACGUCAUGGGAGUCGAUAACGCCUGAAGCCGGUGGCCUAGCUCGGAAGAGAGGGCGCUGUCUAAGGC
rnacentral:rRNA from 1 species